rnacentral:rRNA from 1 species
UACGAAGGGGGCUAGCGUUGUUCGGAAUCACUGGGCGUAAAGGGCGCGUAGGCGGCCGAUCAAGUCGGGGGUGAAAGCCUGUGGCUCAACCACAGAAUUGCCUUCGAUACUGUUUGGCUUGAGACCGGAAGAGGUAAGUGGAACUGCGGGUGUAGAGGUGAAAUUCGUAGAUAUUAGGAAGAACACCAGUGGCGAAGGCGGCUCACUGGAUCGGUACUGACGCUGAGGUGCGAAAGCGUGGGGAGCAAACAGG